rnacentral:rRNA from 1 species
ACGAACGCUGGCGGCGUGCUUAACACAUGCAAGUCGAACGAUGAAAGAGGAGCUUGCUCCUCUGGAUUAGUGGCGAACGGGUGAGUAACACGUGAGCAAUGUGCCCUUGACUCUGGAAUAAGCGCUGGAAACGGCGUCUAAUACCGGAUACGACCUUCGGAGGCAUCUCCUGGAGGUGGAAAGAAUUUCGGUCAAGGAUCAGCUCACGGCCUAUCAGUUAGUUGGUGAGGUAAUGGCUCACCAAGACGACGACGGGUAGCCGGCCUGAGAGGGUGACCGGCCACACUGGGACUGAGACACGGCCCAGACUCCUACGGGAGGCAGCAGUGGGGAAUAUUGCACAAUGGGCGCAAGCCUGAUGCAGCAACGCCGCGUGAGGGACGACGGCCUUCGGGUUGUAAACCUCUUUUAGCAGGGAAGAAGCGAAAGUGACGGUACCUGCAGAAAAAGCACCGGCUAACUACGU